rnacentral:rRNA from 1 species
GAUGAACGCUAGCGGCAGGCCUAAUACAUGCAAGUCGAACGCGGGGUAGCAAUACCUCGAGUGGCGCACGGGUGCGUAACGCGUAACCAACCUGCCCUUGACUGGGGGAUAGCCCGCCGAAAGGCGGAUUAAUACCGCAUAAACCAGCAGCCUGGCAUCAGGCAACUGGUAAAGAUUUAUUGGUCAAGGAUGGGGUUGCGUGACAUUAGCUAGUUGGCGGGGUAACGGCCCACCAAGGCGACGAUGUCUAGGGGACCUGAGAGGGUGAUCCCCCACACUGGCACUGAGAUACGGGCCAGACUCCUACGGGAGGCAGCAGUAGGGAAUAUUGGGCAAUGGGCGAGAGCCUGACCCAGCCAUGCCGCGUGCCGGAUGAAGGCCUUCUGGGUUGUAAACGGCUUUUUUCAGGGAAGAAAACGACCAUGCGUGGUACACUGACGGUACCUGAGGAAUAAGCACCGGCUAACUCCGUGCCAGCAGCCGCCGCUG